GACGAACGCUGGCGGCGUGCUUAACACAUGCCAGUCGAACGGAAAGGCCCUGCUUUUGUGGGGUGCUCGAGUGGCGAACGGGUGAGUAACACGUGAGUAACCUGCCCUUGACUUUGGGAUAACUUCAGGAAACUGGGGCUAAUACCGGAUAGGAGCUCCUGCUGCAUGGUGGGGGUUGGAAAGUUUCGGCGGUUGGGGAUGGACUCGCGGCUUAUCAGCUUGUUGGUGGGGUAGUGGCUUACCAAGGCUUUGACGGGUAGCCGGCCUGAGAGGGUGACCGGCCACAUUGGGACUGAGAUACGGCCCAGACUCCUACGGGAGGCAGCAGUGGGAAUAUUGCACAAUGGGCGGAAGCCUGAUGCAGCAACGCCGCGUGCGGGAUGACGGCCUUCGGGUUGUAAACCGCUUUCGCCUGUGACGAAGCGUGAGUGACGGUAAUGGGUAAAGAAGCACCGACUAACUACGUG
rnacentral:rRNA from 1 species